rnacentral:rRNA from 1 species
AAGCAUAUCAAUAAGCGGAGGAAAAGAAACCAACAGGGAUUGCCUCAGUAACGGCGAGUGAAGC